rnacentral:rRNA from 1 species
CCUACGGGUGGCAGCAGUGAGGAAUAUUGGUCAAUGGCCGGAAGGCUGAACCAGCCAUGCCGCGUGAAGGUCAGUGCCCUAUGGGCGUUAAACUUCUUUUGUGCGGGAGCAAUAAUGGUCACGUGUGGCCAGACGAGAGUACCGUACGAAUAAGCAUCGGCUAACUCCGUGCCAGCAGCCGCGGUAAUACGGAGGAUGCGAGCGUUAUCCGGAUUUAUUGGGUUUAAAGGGUGCGUAGGCGGUCCGUUAAGUCAGCGGUAAAAUUGCGGGGCUCAACCCCGUCGAGCCGUUGAAACUGGCAGACUUGAGUUGGCGAGAAGUAUGCGGAAUGCGCGGUGUAGCGGUGAAAUGCAUAGAUAUCGCGCAGAACUCCGAUUGCGAAGGCAGCGUACCGGCGCCAGACUGACGCUGAGGCACGAAAGCGUGGGGAUCGAACAGGAUUAGAUACCCCGGUAGUC